rnacentral:tRNA from 1 species
CCGCGUUGGCCCGGGCCGGGGCCCGGGUGCUGAUGACCGCCCGCGACGUGACCCGCGGCCGCGCCGCGGUGCGCGGG